GGGGGCGUAGCUCAUAUGGUAGAGUGCUCGCUUAGCAUGUGAGAAGUACCGGGAUCGUUACCAUGCGCCUCCA